CCUACGGGAGGCAGCAGUGAGGAAUAUUGGUCAAUGGACGAGAGUCUGAACCAGCCAAGUAGCGUGAAGGAUGACUGCCCUAUGGGUUGUAAACUUCUUUUAUAUGGGAAUAAAAUGUUCCACGUGUGGGAUUUUGUAUGUACCAUAUGAAUAAGGAUCGGCUAACUCCGUGCCAGCAGCCGCGGUAAUACGUAGGAUCCGAGCGUUAUCCGGAUUUAUUGGGUUUAAAGGGAGCGUAGGUGGAUUGUUAAGUCAGUUGUGAAAGUUUGCGGCUCAACCGUAAAAUUGCAGUUGAAACUGGCAGUCUUGAGUACAGUAGAGGUGGGCGGAAUGCGUGGUGUAGCGGUGAAAUGCUUAGAUAUCACGAAGAACUCCGAUUGCGAAGGCAGUUCACUGGACUGCAACUGACACUGAGGCUCGAAAGUGUGGGUAUCAAACAGGAUUAGAUACCCCAGUAGUC
rnacentral:rRNA from 1 species